rnacentral:tRNA from 9 species
GGGUGAUUAGCUCAGCUGGGAGAGCACCUCCCUUACAAGGAGGGGGUCGGCGGUUAGAUCCCGUCAUCACCCACCA